rnacentral:rRNA from 1 species
CAUAAGACCACAGGGAUGCAUAUCCUAGGGGUCAAAGCUCCGCAAGGGGCGCUUGAGGAGGAGCCCGAGUCCUAUCAUGGUAGUUGGCGGGGUAACGGCCCACCAAGCCGUUGACGGGUAGCCGGCCUGAAAGGGCAAACGGCCACACUGGCACUGAGACACGGGCCAGACUCCUACGGGAGGCAGCAGUGGGGAAUUUUGGACAAUGGGGGCAACCCUGAUCCAGCGACGCCGCGUGGAGGAUGAAGGUCUUCGGAUUGUAAACUCCUUUUGAAGGGGAUGAGUGGCCUGGUGAAUAGCCAGGUAUGACAGUACUCUUCGAAUAAGCCACGGCUAACUACGUGCCAGCAGCCGCGGUAAUACGUAGGUGGCAAGCGUUACUCGGAAUCACUAGGCGUAAAGCGCAGGUAGGAGGUUUGAUAAGUCUGUUGUGAAAGCUCCCGGCUUAACUGGGAGAGGCCAACGGAAACUGUCAGGCUAGAGUGUGGUAGAGGAAGAUGGAAUUCCCGGUGUAGCGGUGACAUGCGUAGAUAUCGGGAGGAAUACCUAUGGCGAAAGCAGUCUUCUGGACCAUCACUGACUCUGAUCUGCGAAAGCUAGGGGAGCAAACAGGAUUAGAUACCCUGGUAGUCCUAGCCCUAAACGAUGCUCAUUAGGUGUGGGAGGUAUCGACCCCUUCCGCGCCGUAGCUAACGCAUUAAAUGAGCCGCCUGGGGAGUACGGCCGCAAGGUUGAAACUCAAAGGAAUUGACGG